UUCGCCAUGUUGCCCAGGCUGAGCUUGAACUCCUGACCUCAGGUGAUCCGCCUGCCAUGGCCCCCCAAAGUCCUGGGAUUACAGGUGUGAGCCAGCAUAUCAGUGUCUUCAUGCCUUUUCACUUUGUUAUUUUUGGAUGUUUUUCUUUUUCCUCCCCGGCCACUGGCAUGUUGGUCGUCACAUGGGGGAAGUGGUAGGUCUGAAGUGACCACUACUGAAGGAUCUGCUGGGACAAGUCAUGGUGCAGCCUGCACGAGGAAACAUUGCCAGCAGCCGCAGCGAGCCGCAAGUGAGACGGAAGUGAGAGAGCAUGGAUGUGCAGAGCUUCCUGCAGCCCUGAGGGUGGUCAGUGCGGCCUCUGCAUCCACAAGGAAAAGGUGGAGGAUGUUCAGGCCCAGGGGUUGCUCCCCAGGUUUCUGUGAGAAACCCGUGGCACAGACAACCACACACGAGUAGAACUACAACCGUGGAAUCUGAAAUUUAGUGUCUUAUACUUGGUUCUAAAAUUAGGUUGAUUUAAAUUCAGAAGUGUGCCCUACUCUGACAAAUGUUAAAGUAGACUAAUAGAAGGCACAUUUUGACACAGAGGCCCUGGGUUUGAGACUCCUCCAUCAUCCCUAAACCAGAGGAAGAAUUGCUGUGUGAGCCAGCGAUAUUUGAUCUGAUUUCUGUUUAGUUUCUGUGAUGUAGCUGUGCUACCUUUAAAAU